AGCAAUAUUAUUAUGUGUAUUUUUGUUCGUAAUAAGUAAGCUAAUGAACAUAUCUCGUAUUGAGAGGUGACUAGUUAGCAAUAAAUAAUGUGUAUUUUUGUUCGUAAUAAGUAAGCUAAUGAACAUAUCUCGUAUUGAGAGGUGACUAGUUAGCAAUAAAUAAUGUGUAUUUUUGUUCGUAAUAUGUAAGCUAAUGAACAUAUCUCGUACUGAGAGGUGACUAGUUAGCAGUGGUGUUGAUACCCAUAUACUCAUAGUAAUGAUGUAAACGAACAUUUUCUAUUGUACGUUGUUGAGGUGACCAAUUAGCAAGUAAUAUUUUGUUUAUAGAAUUGACAAUUCACAUGCUUACAAAAAUACUUUGUAUGAGUUCACUUUGAAGCAAGACUCCUCUCAUACAAUACAUAAGCAAUGCUUAAAGCAUGUAAUGUGUAAAUGGAAAUUUCAGUAUUUAAUAACAACACUCGUUUGAUGGUAAGAUUUAAAUUCUAUUUAGAGAUCGUUGUCGGUAACUUAGGAUUUAUCUGAUGUGUUGUAUAUUUUGUAUCUCUUUUACUCGUUUGUAAAUUCUUCUUUAAGUCCUUCGGUCAGAAUUCUGGUUUGAUUGAACGUUAAAAUGAUUAUUCGAUGACUUCUUCAUUUUAGAAACGAUUUGCUGAUAUUGAUUAUUCAAUUUAGAGAAUCGGUAAUUCAGUUACCAAUUAUAUUUUGUUUACGGUUUAUUGCAUUUGAAAACACUAUACUCGUUGUCGUUACAUUUACUAUGAUUCUGGCCGAAGGACCUUGUUUGUCCCGUGUGUUUAUGACGGUAAAGGAACUCGGCCAAUUCAUAUGUAUAAUUGAAAACAAAUGGCAAACUUAUCAACAUGUCGAUACUUAAUUCUUGGUAUGUUUUUUUUAGAUAUAUAAUGUGUUAUAAAUUAUUUUUAUUUCUAGAUAAUCAGUUGAAAAAAUGUAUGUAAAGAAUGAUAUUUUAAACACUGCUGUAGUUCAUUUUACCUGAUUUGAUUUAUUGAUUGCUGUAAGGGUUAACUAAUCCAUUUGUGAUGAUAAAUAAAACAUGGCUUGGACAAAAAUAAACAGAUAAUAGAA